rnacentral:tRNA from 1 species
GUGGUUGUGGCUCAAUGGUAGAGCGCUCGCCUUGCAUGUGUGAAACACUGGGUUCAACCCUCAGCACCACA